UACGAAGGGUGCAAGCGUUACUCGGAAUUACUGGGCGUAAAGCGUGCGUAGGUGGUUCGUUAAGUCUGAUGUGAAAGCCCUGGGCUCAACCUGGGAAUGGCAUUGGAUACUGGCGACCUAGAGUGCGGUAGAGGGGUGUGGAAUUCCCGGUGUAGCAGUGAAAUGCGUAGAUAUCAAGAGGAACACCAGUGGCGAAGGCGAGUCCCUGGACAAUACCUGACACUGAGGCACGAAAGCCGGGGGAGCAAACAGG
rnacentral:rRNA from 1 species